AUUGAACGCUGGCGGCAUGCCUUACACAUGCAAGUCGAACGGCAGCACGGGUGCUUGCACCUGGUGGCGAGUGGCGAACGGGUGAGUAAUACAUCGGAACGUACCUUAUCGUGGGGGAUAACGCAGCGAAAGCUGUGCUAAUACCGCAUACGCCCUGAGGGGGAAAGCGGGGGAUCGAAAGACCUCGCGCGAUUAGAGCGGCCGAUGCCUGAUUAGCUUGUUGGUGGGGUAAAAGCCCACCAAGGCGACGAUCAGUAGCUGGUCUGAGAGGACGAUCAGACACACUGGGACUGGGGCACGGCCCAGACGCCUACGGGAGGCAGCAGUGGGGAAUUUUGGACAAUGGGGGCAACCCUGAUCCAGCAAUGCCGCGUGAGGGAAGAGGGCCUUCGGGUUGUAAAGCUCUUUUGUCAGGGAAGAAACACCGGCUCUAACACAGUCCGGGAAUGACGGUACCUGAAGAAUAAGCACCAGCUAACUACGUGCCAGCAGCCGCGGUAA
rnacentral:rRNA from 1 species